CCGGCGGAGGGGUGAGUAUUGCCUAUGAGUCUGCCUGGUGUUGGGGGAUAACGUCCGGAAACGGGCGCUACUACCGCCUACGUCCUGUUGGACUCAGUGGGGGAUCUUCGGACCUCACGCUUUCGCAUGAGCCUAGGUCGGAUUACCUAGUUGGUGGGGUAAAGGCCUACCAAGGCGACCAUCCGUAACUGGUCUGAUAGGAUAAUCGAUCGCACUGUAGCUGACACUGGGUCCGAACUCCUACCGGAAGCCCCACUGGGGAAUAUUGGACGAUGUCUUACGGCCUGAUCCAGCCUUGCCCCGAGUGUGAACAAGGGCUUCAGAUUGUUUUGCACUUUAUAUUGGUAUGAAGGUCAGUAAGAUAAUACCUUGCUGUUUUGACCUUACCCUUGAAAUAACCACCGGCUAACUUCGUGCCUGCAUCCGCGGCAAUACCAACGGUGCAAGCGUUGUGCGGAGUUACUGGCCGAAUAACUCGCGUAAGUGGUUCAGCAAGUUGGAUGUGAAAUCCCAUGUCUCAACCUGGGACCUGCCUCCGAAACUACUGAGCUAAAUUACGGAAUAGGGUGGCGGAAAUUCCUGUGUAACUCCGAAAUGCGUAGAUAUAUGAGGAACACCUGGAGCGACCGCGACCCCUAGGCUGCUACUUGACUCUGAGCUGCGAAAGCAUGGGGAGAAAACGGAUAGAAACCCUGGUAGUCCACCCGGUAACCACGCCGACUACCCGUUGGCAUCCU
rnacentral:rRNA from 1 species